rnacentral:rRNA from 1 species
UUAUUGGAGAGUUUGAUCCUGGCUCAGGACGAACGCUGGCGGCGUGCCUAAUACAUGCAAGUCGAGCGGACUUGAUGAGGAGCUUGCUUCUCUGAGAGUUAGCGGCGGACGGGUGAGUAACACGUAGGCAACCUGCCCUCAAGACUGGGAUAACUACCGGAAACGGUAGCUAAUACCGGAUAAUUAAAUUCGCUGCAUGGCGGGUUUAUGAAAGGCGGAGCAAUCUGUCACUUGAGGAUGGGCCUGCGGCGCAUUAGCUAGUUGGUGAGGUAACGGCUCACCAAGGCGACGAUGCGUAGC